GAUGAACGCUGGCGGCGUGCCUAACACAUGCAAGUCGAGCGAACGGACGAGAAGCUUGCUUCUCUGAUGUUAGCGGCGGACGGGUGAGUAACACGUGGAUAACCUACCUAUAAGACUGGGAUAACUUCGGGAAACCGUAGCUAAUACCGGAUAAUAUUUUGAACCGCAUGGUUCAAAAGUGAAAGACGGUCUUGCUGUCACUUAUAGAUGGAUCCGCGCUGCAUUAGCUAGUUGGUAAGGUAACGGCUUACCAAGGCAACGAUGCAUAGCCGACCUGAGAGGGUGAUCGGCCACACUGGAACUGAGACACGGUCCAGACUCCUACGGGAGGCAGCAGUAGGGAAUCUUCCGCAAUGGGCGAAAGCCUGACGGAGCAACGCCGCGUGAGUGAUGAAGGUCUUCGGAUCGUAAAACUCUGUUAUUAGGGAAGAACAUAUGUGUAAGUAACCGUGCACAUCUUGACGGUACCUAAUCAGAAAGCCACGGCUAACUACGUG
rnacentral:rRNA from 1 species